rnacentral:ncRNA from 1 species
AGAGCGUUCUAAGGGCGUUGAAGCUAGACCGCAAGGACUGGUGGAGCGCUUAGAAGUGAGAAUGCCGGUAUGAGUAGCGAAAGAUGGGUGAGAAUCCCAUCCACCGAAUGCCUAAGGUUUCCUGAGGAAGGCUCGUCCGCUCAGGGUUAGUCGGGACCUAAGCCGAGGCUGAAAAGCGUAGGCGAUGGACAACAGGUUGAUAUUCCUGUACCACCAAACUCCGUUUGAGCAAUGGGGGGACGCAGGAGGAUAGGGUAAGCGCACUGCUGGAUAUGUGCGUCUAAGCAGUUAGGCUGCAAGCGAGGAAAAUCCCGUUUGCGUGAAGGCUGAGCUGUGACAGCGAGGGAAAUAUAGUACCGAAGUUCCUGAUUCCACACUGCCAAGAAAAGCCUCUAGUGAGGAUAAGGUGCCCGUACCGCAAACCGACACAGGUAGGCGAGGAGAGAAUCCUAAGGUGAGCGAGAGAACUCUCGUUAAGGAACUCGGCAAAAUGACCCCGUAACUUCGGGAGAAGGGGUGCUUUUUAGGGUGAAUAGCCCUGAAAAGCCGCAGUGAAUAGGCCCAGGCGACUGUUUAGCAAAAACACAGGUCUCUGCGAAGCCGCAAGGCGAAGUAUAGGGGCUGACGCCUGCCCGGUGCUGGAAGGUUAAGAGGAGGGGUUAGCUUACGCGAAGCUCUGAAUUGAAGCCCCA